GGAGAUAUAGAGGAGGAGAUGUAGAGGAGGAGAUGUAGACGUAGAGGAGGAGAUAUAGAGGUGGUGGAGGAGAUUUAGAGGAGGAGAUGUAGAGGUAGAGGAGGUGAUAUAGAGGUAGAGGAGGAGAUGUAGAGGUAGAGGAGGAUAUAUAGAGGUGGAGGAGGAGAUGUAGAGGUAGAGGAGGUGAUAUUGAGGAGGAGGAGGAGAUGCAGAGGUAGAGGAGGAGAUAGAGGAGAUGUAGAGGAGGAGAUGUAGAGGAGGAGAUGUAGAGGAGGAGAUAUUGAGGAGGAGAUAUAAAGGUAGAGGAGGAGAAAUAGAGUAGGAGAUAUAGAGGAGGAGAUAUAGAGGAGGAGAUGUAGAGGGGGAGAUGUAGAGGAGGAGAUUAAGAGGUAGAGGAGGAGAUGUAGAGGAGGAGAUGUAGAGGUAGUGGAGGAGAUAUAGAGGAGGAGAGGUAGAGGAGAUGUAGAGGUAGAGGAGGAGAUAUAGAGGAGGAGAGGUAGAGGAGGAGAUGUAGAGGUAGAGGAGGAGAUGUAGAGGUAGAGGAGGAGAUAUAGAGGUGGAGAUAUAGAGGAGGAGAUAUAGAGGUAGAAGAGGAGAUGUAGAGGAGGAGAUGUAGAGGUAGAGGAGGAGAUGUAGAGGAGGAGAUGUAGAGGUAGAGGAGGAGAUGUAGAGGUAGAGGAGGAGAUAUAGGGGUGGAGGAGGAGAUGUAGAGGUAGAGGAGGAGAUAUAGAGGUGGAGAUAUAGAGGUAGAGGAGGAGAUGUAGAGGUAGAGGAGGAGAUAUAGAUGUGGAGAUAUAGAGGUAGAGAUAUAGAGUAGGAGAUAUAGAGGAGGAGAUAUAGAGGAGGAGAUAUAGAGGAGGAGAUAUAGAGGAGGAGAUGUAGAGGGGGAGAUGUAGAGGAGGAGAUUAAGAGGUAGAGGAGGAGAUGUAGAGGAGGAGAUG
rnacentral:lncRNA from 1 species